AGGGAUCAUUACUGAGUUACCGCUCUAUAACCCUUUGUGAACAUACCUAACCGUUGCUUCGGCGGGCAGGGGAAGCCUCUCGCGGGCCUCCCCUCCCGGCGCCGGCCCCACCACGGGGACGGGGCGCCCGCCGGAGGAAACCAAACUCUAUUUACACGACGUCUCUUCUGAGUGGCACAAGCAAAUAAUUAAAACUUUUAACAACGGAUCUCUUGGUUCUGGCAUCGAUGAAGAACGCAGCGAAAUGCGAUAAGUAAUGUGAAUUGCAGAAUUCAGUGAAUCAUCGAAUCUUUGAACGCACAUUGCGCUCGCCAGCAUUCUGGCGAGCAUGCCUGUUCGAGCGUCAUUUCAACCCUCAAGCACCGCUUGGUUUUGGGGCCCCACGGCACACGUGGGCCCUUAAAGGUAGUGGCGGACCCUCCCGGAGCCUCCUUUGCGUAGUAACUAACGUCUCGCACUGGGAUUCGGAGGGACUCUUGCCGUAAAACCCCCCAAUUUUUUACAGGUUGACCUCGGAUCAGGUAGGAAUACCCGCUGAA
rnacentral:rRNA from 1 species